rnacentral:rRNA from 1 species
AACGAACGCUGGCGGCAUGCCUAACACAUGCAAGUCGAACGAGACCUUCGGGUCUAGUGGCGCACGGGUGCGUAACGCGUGGGAACCUGCCCUUAGGUUCGGAAUAACUCCCCGAAAGGGGUGCUAAUACCGGAUAAUGUCUUCGGCCCAAAGAUUUAUCGCCUUUGGAUGGGCCCGCGUUGGAUUAGCUAGUUGGUAGGGUAAAAGCCUACCAAGGCGACGAUCCAUAGCUGGUCUGAGAGGAUGAUCAGCCACACUGGGACUGAGACACGGCCCAGACUCCUACGGGAGGCAGCAGUGGGGAAUAUUGGACAAUGGGCGAAAGCCUGAUCCAGCAAUGCCGCGUGAGUGAUGAAGGCCUUAGGGUUGUAAAGCGCUUUUACCCGGGAUGAUAAUGACAGUACCGGGAGAAUAAGCUCCGGCUAACUCCGUG